AGCAGCUCAACGGCUCACACAGUCAAAACACCUCGGAGCCUGGGCAGGAGCUGAGAAAACAGCUCAGUGAGAACACUGAGUGUCAACUGACAUCCAGAAGGUGACAGGUAAUCACAGAAUCACAGGGCCUACGUCUGGGGGAUGAGCUGAAAAGUCACCCAGGAAUGCUCCUUCAGCUAGCACUGAAACUGAUCUCC